UACGGAGGGGGCUAGCGUUGUUCGGAAUUACUGGGCGUAAAGCGCACGUAGGCGGCUUUGUAAGUUAGAGGUGAAAGCCCAGGGCUCAACCCUGGAAUUGCCUUUAAGACUGCAUCGCUUGAAUCAUGGAGAGGUGAGUGGAAUUCCGAGUGUAGAGGUGAAAUUCGUAGAUAUUCGGAAGAACACCAGUGGCGAAGGCGGCUCACUGGCCCGGUACUGACGCUGAGGCGCGAAAGCGUGGGGAGCAAACAGG
rnacentral:rRNA from 1 species